rnacentral:rRNA from 1 species
GUAGUCCACGCCGUAAACGAUGGAUACUAGCUGUUGGAGGUAUCGACCCCUUCAGUAGCGAAGCUAACGCGUUAAGUAUCCCGCCUGUGGAGUACGGUCGCAAGACUAAAACAUAAAGGAAUUGACGGGGGGCCGCACAAGCGGUGGAUCGUGUUCUUUAAUUCGAUGAUAAACGAAGAACCUUACCAGGGUUUGACAUCCUUGGAAUCUCUAUGAAAGUAGAGAGUGCUUUAUUGAGCCAAGUGACAGGUGAUGCAUGGCCGUCGUCAGCUCGUGUCGUGAGAUGUUAGGUUAAGUCCUUUAACGAGCGCAACCCUUGUGAUUAGUUGUAUUUUUCUAAUCAGACUGCCCCGGUAACGGGGAGGAAGGAGGGGAUGAUGUCAGGUCAGUAUUUCCCUUACACCCUGGGCUAGAAACACGAUACAAUGGUUAGUACAAUGCGCAGCGAAGCCGCGAGGUGAAGCAAAUCGCACCAAAGCUAAUCCCAGUUCGGAUAAGAGGCUGAAACUCGCCUCUUUGAAGUUGGAAUCGCUAGUAAUCGCAGAUCAGCAAGCUGCGGUGAAUACGUUCCCGGCCCUUGUACACACCGCCCGUCAAACCAUGAAAGUCACCAACACCCGAAGUCCGAUUCGUCGGCCUAAGGUGGGGGGGAUGAUUGGGGGUU